GGUGAGAUGUCCGAGUGGUUGAAGGAGCACACUUGGAAAGUGUGUAUACGGCGACGUAUCGAGGGUUCGAACCCCUCUCUCACCACCA
rnacentral:tRNA from 1 species